GGGCCCGUAGCUCAGCGGCAGAGCAGCGGACUUUUAAUCCGAUGGUCGUGGGUUCGAAUCCCACCGGGCCCC
rnacentral:tRNA from 1 species